AUUGAACGCUGGCGGAAUGCUUUACACAUGCAAGUCGAACGGCAGCACGGGGCAACCUGGUGGCGAGUGGCGAACGGGUGAGUAAUACAUCGGAACGUGCCCAGUCGUGGGGGAUAACGUAGCGAAAGCUACGCUAAUACCGCAUACGAUCUACGGAUGAAAGCGGGGGACUCGCAAGAGCCUCGCGCGAUUGGAGCGGCCGAUGGCAGAUUAGGUAGUUGGUGGGGUAAAGGCUCACCAAGCCUGCGAUCUGUAGCUGGUCUGAGAGGACGACCAGCCACACUGGAACUGAGACACGGUCCAGACUCCUACGGGAGGCAGCAGUGGGGAAUUUUGGACAAUGGGCGCAAGCCUGAUCCAGCCAUUCCGCGUGCAGGAUGAAGGCCUUCGGUUGUAACUAGCUUUGUACGGUACGAAAGGUUUACGUCUAAUACAGAGGGACGUCAUGACGGUACCGUAACGAAUAAGACACCGGCUAACUACGUG
rnacentral:rRNA from 1 species